GCGCAGAGAUGGGGACACGUGAACUUCACUCAUGCUGAACUCCAGCUGCAUUGGCUUCCCGGGGUGGCCACAACAAGAGGCCACAGACCGCAUGGCUUAAACAACGGAGACUGAUUUUCUCGCUGUUCUGGAGGUGGCUUUCUCUUGGGGCUUCCCUCCUUGGCUUGUGGACGGCCAAGGGCUGUCACAUGGCCUCCCCUCUGUGUGUGUCCUGCCUGUGACCACAUCUCCCCUUGGAUGGGAUUUCCAGUGAUGGGUGGGGGCCCACCCUGAUAACUCCACCUUAACACUAUCAUCUUCGAAGAGGAGACCCUACUUCCAAGUCAGGCCACAGUCGCAGUACUGGGGGUAGGGACUUUAACAUCUUUUGGAGGCACGAUUCAGUCUGUACACCCACGGAGAGGCUCUCUGUGGUCAUCUUUGGCUGGCAGGCUCGAUACAUCUUGCAGGGCUUCAGAGGAGGGCCAGGAUGUGUGUCCAAGUCUGGGAAGCUCUGGAAAGAUGUGGGGCUUCAGUUCCCUGUUGGAGGAAGAGCAGAGUGUGCCGGGGUUGGGUAGGGCGGGAGGUGGAGGCAGGGAGGGCUGAUUGUUGCCAGCUCGGAGGCUGUGCGGCUGGCAGGGCCUGAAAGUUGGCAUGGAUUAGAAACAGACAGCCAGGGCUGCCCCUGCCUGGAGCACCCGUACUCGUCUGUCUCCUGAAAUCUGUUAGAGUUUCGGUUGCUGGCUUGCUUUCCCCCAGUAUUUUCUCCUUCAGAGUUUGAGCUGGUGCAGAACACGAGCACAAAAUGUCUUCUUUAUAGCAGAGAGUCGUGUUCCCCAUGCAGGGGAGAAAGGCCCAGAGGAGAAGGUCUAAUACCAGAUGUGUGUGGCUGCUGCUCCCCUCUGGCUGCCUUCACUAGGAACUUUGCCAGCUCCUGAUUCUUCACGCGGGCCAUGCUGUGGCCAGCCUGCGCUUCCUCCGCGGUGCCCUGCUCCCCAUGGACUCACGCUCAUCUGAUGCACGAUGCUUUCCUAACGAGUUUCUGGCAGGUCCUCCAGAGACAGGACGGGAAGCAGGGUGUUUUCUUCUAUCAGCCGCUCGUGGAGAGUAACAGGUGCACUUGGCCUCCUCCUGCUCUGGGUGCAGUUCAACCAUGGGGACCUGACUACACGGGCCUAUCCAGACGCCCUCCAUCCACAGGCAGGGGUGGGUGCAGGGCUUGCAGGCUCAGCCAGGGUCAGGCCAAUGCAGUGAGCCUGGGAGGAGGAAGUGGGACCUGGGACAGACCGACUUUCUGUGUUUGCCUGUUGUGCCGUCUCUUGCUCAUAUACCACUGGCCUUCGCCCUCCUUCCUCAUCAAUAUGAAAUCAAGAUAAUUGUGGGUCAGGACUGAUGGCCUCUGUGCCCAGAUGCAGAGUGGGCCUGCUCCAUGCGCCAGCUAGGGACGGCCGUGCUGGGCUGACACAGACCCAAUGUCGCCAAGCAUGGGCUCCUCCAGGAACUGCCAGGGGCAUCUGGUGGAUGUGUCUGCAGGUGCAUGGGCACAGCCGCCUUCCUUGUGGCCCUUUAUUUCAUUAAAGCACUGGACAUGAAAAAUUAGGAUAAAAUGUCUUCACAUUGAGAACUAAAAAUAAAAUCCUAAGUCCCCCAACAGACUGAACAGGCCCUGACUUGACCAAGGGGAUCCCAGAGGAACCUCAAAAACUGAGUUCCCAGCCAUAAUGAGACAAGAGGUCAGACAUGCCUCAUGGUAUAGACAGCAGCGGAGCAGCAUUUGUGUUAAAAUAGAGAUCAGACAACCAGCAGAACGGAGCCUUGUGGCCAUAGGAUACCAAGCUAUGAACAGAGUCUAAGGCCAGGUCAGACAAGGGUUAGGUCAUGUACCCCUAAGCUGAAAAAACAAACUGUGUUUCAACUGCCACAAGGUUUUAUUUUUUCCUUUUUCUCUAACAGCUCAACAAUCACAGGACUUACACAAUAUCAAACAAUUCCAGCUCAUGAACCAUCAGACAGUGAUGGACUCCCCUGCUCUGCCAGCCAUGGCUACAGCUUUGACUGGUCAAGAGGCUGAUUGCAGUAACUUUCUUCUGGUAGGAGACGCAGACAUGACUGGAUCUGGCCAGUUUACAGAGGCUGCACCCUGAGGGCCAUCGUGUCCCGCUUGCCUUUUGACCUACAGGGCCUAAUAUAAUGUAUUUAAAUGUUACUUCUCCACCUGCAAAUGACAAGGGAUGCGUGGAAUAUGCAUGUUUGCUUACCACGCAUGUGUGUGACUCCCCCAUCAUGAAUAUUCAUAACUCCUGUAACCUGUUACAUACGUAUCCUUGACCAACCAUUCAACAUAAAGCCCUGUUUCACCCUCCCCUCCUUCGAAGCACCAACUCUGACUUCAGCCAGAGGCUACGCUUCUCAGCCUGUCAAAAAAGCCACCUCACAGAUGAUACUCUUUAUGAAAAGCAAAGUCUGCUUUCUAAAUUUAUAAUUUUUAAAUGUACAUAUUUGGCGAUGAGGAUGGGAUUCAAACCCAAGCACGCAUGAGCACUAGGAUAAGAUACUUAAUGUGAGGAUGGCCUUUGCUUUAACUUUCUCUGAGUUGCUUAGUGAGGAAGCAGGCCAGCCUCUGUCCCGCAGAGGCCCCGCAUGUGGGUUCUAAGGAGCCUGUGGUGUCCUGGUGAAAUCUGCAGAGUUCAGCUGUUGGUACUGAGGAGGGGGGGCAUGCCAGCCCUGUGCCCACCCCCAAGCACGGGCCAUGAGAGAUCACAGUGGCAACUCCCUUCCUAACAAAGAAAGGUCAGAGUGAGCUGUGGCCCAAGGCCCAGGGCCUUCCCCACCUGGUCUGGACUCACCUGCCCAGGUGUCACAGGGCCUCCUACAGCCCCCUCCGGACUCACCUGCCCAGGUGUCACAGGGCCUCCUACACCCCCCUCCAGACUCACCUACCCAGGUGUCACACUGCCUCCUACACCCCCCUCCGGACUCACCUGCCCAGGUGUCACAGGGCCUCCUACACUCCCCUCCAGACUCACCUGCCCAGGUGUCACACUGCCUCCUACACCCCCCUCCAGACUCACCUGCCCAGGUGUCACACUGUCUCCUACACCCCCCUCCGGACUCACCUGCCCAGGUGUCACAGGGCUUCCUACACCCCCCUCCGGACUCACCUGCCCAGGUGUCACAGUGCCUCCUACACCUGCCUCCGGACUCACCUGCCCAGGUGUCACACUGCCUCAUACACCCCCCUCCAGACUCACCUGCCCAGGUGUCACAGUGCCUCCUACACCCCCCUCCGGACUCACCUGCCCAGGUGUCACACUGCCUCCUACACCCCCCUCCAGACUCACCUGCCCAGGUGUCACAGGGCCUCCUACAUCCCCCUCCGGACUCACCUGCUCAGGUGUCACACUGCCUCCUACACCCCCCUCCAGACUCACCUGCCCAGGUGUCACACUGCAUCCUACUCCCCGCUCCGGACUCACCUGUCCAGGUAUCACAGUGCCUCCUACAUGCCCCCCCACAGACUCACCUGUCCAGGUGUCACAGUGCCUCCUACAUGCCCCCCGCACAGACUCACCUGCUCAGGUGUCACAGGGCCUCCUACUCCCCCUUCCCAGACUCACCUGCUCAG
rnacentral:lncRNA from 1 species